AUUAAGUGCGAGUGAUGCGUUCGUCGAGAUUCGGACAAAUAAAGAACGUAUGUAAGUGGCCGGCUGUGAGGCAAAAAUAUGCAGGAUGUUGCUACUUCUGGUAGUACCUAGUACUUUAUAACAACGGAGAUUCAGAACUCGCAUACUGAGGCUGAGCUCCAUGAGCUCGCCAUCAACCAAGACGAAGCCAGAAUACUCCCUCGUUUCUACUGGCAAAUAGGCAGGCAAAAACAACUGACCAUCUACAUCAUAAAUAUAACAAUAAUUAAUAAUUCAGAAUAUGCAUUGCAAGAUACAAGGGCAACGACACCAACAUGAGGGUACAAGGCGCCUGACAGUAAUUAUCACCGCUUCUCUUGGCCAUCAGCAAUGCUACGUUAAGUCAUGUCUGCCAACAUUCGGUUACAACAUUUGUAAGCAAUAAAAACGGUGGAAGAUAUAAACUUGCCUGUACUGGGAAAUAUGUUGAAAUUGGAUUUUUUCCCCGCGGAAUCAACUUCACUCAAAGCCACGAAUAUCACGAAGAACACGAGCACCGAAAUUUUGACACGAGGCUUCAUUAAUUAUAGGUACUGCUUCUUCUUCUUAUUUGUAAAGUAGUCUGUCACUAAAACAUUUUUGACAUAAAAUGUACUAUUCUUAAUUAGUUUAAUUACUAUUUUCAAAAGUAGCAAAUAUACUGUCUUAAGUAAGUACCCAGUACAGAGUUCGAUUAAUUUGGAACUACAUACCUAUUGAGCAUAGUAGCAAGGUAGCAAAAUCUAAAGAUGGAGCUAGAUAAAAUAUACCUAAUGGUAUGGAGUACUUCAGAAUUAAUAAAUAAUAAAAUAUU